UUAAGUUAGAAAGGGCGCACGGUGGAUGCCUUGACACUAGGAGUCGAUGAAGGACGGGACUAACGCCGAUAUGCUUCGGGGAGCUGUAAGUAAGCUUUGAUCCGGAGAUUUCCGAAUGGGGGAACCCACUGUUCGUAAUGGAGCAGUAUCUUGACGUGAAUACAUAGCGUCAUGAUGGCAUACCCAGGGAACUGAAACAUCUAAGUACCUGGAGGAAGAGAAAGCAAAUGCGAUUUCCUGAGUAGCGGCGAGCGAAACGGAACAUAGCCCAAACCAAGAGGCUUGCCUCUUGGGGUUGUAGGACAUUCUAUACGGAGUUACAAAGGAACGAGGUAGACGAAGCGACCUGGAAAGGUCCGUCGUAGAGGGUAACAACCCCGUAGUCGAAACUUCGUUCUCUCUUGAAUGUAUCCUGAGUACGGCGGAACACGUGAAAUUCCGUCGGAAUCCGGGAGGACCAUCUCCCAAGGCUAAAUACUCCCUAGUGAUCGAUAGUGAACCAGUACCGUGAGGGAAAGGUGAAAAGCACCCCGGAAGGGGAGUGAAAGAGAUCCUGAAACCGUGUGCCUACAAAUAGUCAGAGCCCGUUAAUGGGUGAUGGCGUGCCUUUUGUAGAAUGAACCGGCGAGUUACGAUCCCGUGCGAGGUUAAGCUGAAGAGGCGGAGCCGCAGCGAAAGCGAGUCUGAAUAGGGCGUUUAGUACGUGGUCGUAGACCCGAAACCAGGUGAUCUACCCAUGUCCAGGGUGAAGUUCAGGUAACACUGAAUGGAGGCCCGAACCCACGCACGUUGAAAAGUGCGGGGAUGAGGUGUGGGUAGCGGAGAAAUUCCAAUCGAACCUGGAGAUAGCUGGUUCUCCCCGAAAUAGCUUUAGGGCUAGCCUUAAGUGUAAGAGUCUUGGAGGUAGAGCACUGAUUGAACUAGGGGUCCUCAUCGGAUUACCGAAUUCAGUCAAACUCCGAAUGCCAAUGACUUAUCCUUAGGAGUCAGACUGCGAGUGAUAAGAUCCGUAGUCAAAAGGGAAACAGCCCAGACCACCAGCUAAGGUCCCAAAGUAAUCGUUAAGCGGAAAAGGAUGUGGCGUUGCUUAGACAACCAGGAUGUUGGCUUAGAAGCAGCCACCAUUUAAAGAGUGCGUAAUAGCUCACUAGUCGAGUGACUCUGCGCCGAAAAUGUACCGGGGCUAAAUACACCACCGAAGCUGCGGAUUGAUACCAAUGGUAUCAGUGGUAGGGGAGCGUUCUAAGGACAGUGAAGUCAGACCGGAAGGACUGGUGGAGUGCUUAGAAGUGAGAAUGCCGGUAUGAGUAGCGAAAGACGGGUGAGAAUCCCGUCCACCGAAUGCCUAAGGUUUCCUGAGGAAGGCUCGUCCGCUCAGGGUUAGUCAGGACCUAAGCCGAGGCCGACAGGCGUAGGCGAUGGACAACAGGUUGAUAUUCCUGUACCACCUCUUUAUCGUUUGAGCAAUGGAGGGACGCAGAAGGAUAGAAGAAGCGUGCGAUUGGUUGUGCACGUCCAAGCAGUUAGGCUGAUAAGUAGGCAAAUCCGCUUAUCGUAAAGGCUGAGCUGUGAUGGGGAAGCUCCUUAUGGAGCGAAGUCUUUGAUUCCCCGCUGCCAAGAAAAGCUUCUAGCGAGAUAAAAGGUGCCUGUACCGCAAACCGACACAGGUAGGCGAGGAGAGAAUCCUAAGGUGUGCGAGAGAACUCUGGUUAAGGAACUCGGCAAAAUGACCCCGUAACUUCGGGAGAAGGGGUGCUUUCUUAACGGAAAGCCGCAGUGAAUAGGCCCAAGCGACUGUUUAGCAAAAACACAGGUCUGUGCGAAGCCGCAAGGCGAAGUAUACGGGCUGACGCCUGCCCGGUGCUGGAAGGUUAAGGGGAGUGGUUAGGGGUAACCCGAAGCUAUGAACCGAAGCCCCAGUAAACGGCGGCCGUAACUAUAACGGUCCUAAGGUAGCGAAAUUCCUUGUCAGGUAAAUUCUGACCCGCACGAAUGGCGUAACGACUUGGGCGCUGUCUCAACGAGAGAUCCGGUGAAAUUUUAAUACCUGUGAAGAUGCAGGUUACCCGCGACAAGACGGAAAGACCCCAUGGAGCUUUACUGCAGCUUGAUAUUGGACUUUGAUACGAUUUGUACAGGAUAGGUGGGAGCCUAGGAAGCCGGAGCGCCAGCUUCGGUGGAGGCGCCGUUGGGAU
rnacentral:rRNA from 1 species